AGCAUAUCAAUAAGCGGAGGAAAAGAAACCAACAGGGAUUACCUCAGUAACGGCGAGUGAAGCGGUAACAGCUCAAAUUUGAAAUCUGGGUCUUUCAGGCUCCGAGUUGUAAUUUGUAGAAGAUGCUUUGGGUGCGGCCCUGGUCUAAGUUCCUUGGAACAGGACGUCAUAGAGGGUGAGAAUCCCGUAUGUGAUCGGUGGCUUGCGCCCGUGUAAAGCUCUUUCGACGAGUCGGGUUGUUUGGGAAUGCAGCUCUAAAUGGGUGGUAAAUUUCAUCUAAAGCUAAAUAUUGGCCAGAGACCGAUAGCGCACAAGUAGAGUGAUCGAAAGAUGAAAAGAACUUUGGAAAGAGAGUUAAACAGUACGUGAAAUUGUUGAAAGGGAAGCGCUUGCAACCAGACUUGCGCGGGGUUGAUCAUCCGGGGUUCUCCCCGGUGCACUCGGCCUCGCUCAGGCCAGCAUCGGUUUCGGUGGUUGGAUAAAGGCCUUGGGAAUGUAGCUCCUCUCGGGGAGUGUUAUAGCCCUCGGUGCAAUGCAGCCUACCGGGACCGAGGACCGCGCUUCGGCUAGGAUGCUGGCGUAAUGGUUGUAAGCGACCCGUCUUGAAACACGGACCAAGGAGUCUAACAUCUAUGCGAGUGUUUGGGUGUCAAACCCAUACGCGUAAUGAAAGUGAACGGAGGUGAGAACCCUUAAGGGUGCAUCAUCGACCGAUCCUGAUGUCUUCGGAUGGAUUUGAGUAAGAGCAUAGCUGUUGGGACCCGAAAGAUGGUGAACUAUGCCUGAAUAGGGUGAAGCCAGAGGAAACUCUGGUGGAGGCUCGCAGCGGUUCUGACGUGCAAAUCGAUCGUCAAAUUUGGGCAUAGGGGCGAAAGACUAAUCGAACCAUCUAGUAGCUGGUUCCUG
rnacentral:rRNA from 1 species